rnacentral:rRNA from 1 species
UGGAUCCAGACUUUGAUCAUGGCUCAGGACGAACGCUGGCGGCGCGCCUAACACAUGCAAGUCGAACGAGAGAGGAAGAGCUUGCUCUUCUGAUCGAGUGGCGAACGGGUGAGUAACGCGUGAGGAACCUGCCUCAAAGAGGGGGACAACAGUUGGAAACGACUGCUAAUACCGCAUAAGCCCACGGCUCGGCAUCGAGCAGAGGGAAAAGGAGCAAUCCGCUUUGAGAUGGCCUCGCGUCCGAUUAGCUAGUUGGUGAGGUAACGGCCCACCAAGGCAACGAUCGGUAGCCGGACUGAGAGGUUGAACGGCCACAUUGGGACUGAGACACGGCCCAGACUCCUACGGGAGGCAGCAGUGGGGAAUAUUGCACAAUGGGGGAAACCCUGAUGCAGCGACGCCGCGUGGAGGAAGAAGGUCUUCGGAUUGUAAACUCCUGUUGUUGAGGAAGAUGAUGACGGUACUCAACAAGGAAGUGACGGCUAACUACGUGCCAGCAGCCGCGGUAAAACGUAGGUCACAAGCGUUGUCCGGAAUUACUGGGUGUAAAGGGAGCGCAGGCGGGCGAUCAAGUUGGAAGUGAAAUCCAUGGGCUCAACCCAUGAACUGCUUUCAAAACUGAUUGUCUUGAGUAGUGCAGAGGUAGGCGGAAUUCCCGGUGUAGCGGUGGAAUGCGUAGAUAUCGGGAGGAACACCAGUGGCGAAGGCGGCCUACUGGGCACCAACUGACGCUGAGGCUCGAAAGUGUGGGUAGCAAACAGGAUUAGAUACCCUGGUAGUCCACACCGUAAACGAUGAUUACUAGGUGUUGGAGGAUUGACCCCUUCAGUGCCGCAGUUAACACAAUAAGUAAUCCACCUGGGGAGUACGACCGCAAGGUUGCAACUCAAAUGAAUUGACGGA